UGAAUUGCAGAAUCCCGUGAACCAUCGAGUCUUUGAACGCAAGUUGCGCCCAAAGCCACUAGGCCGAGGGCACGUCUGCCUGGGCGUCACGC
rnacentral:rRNA from 1 species